rnacentral:rRNA from 1 species
UGCGUAGGCGGGUUUCUAAGUCAGAGGUGAAAGCCUGGAGCUCAACUCCAGAGCUGCCUUUGAUACUGGAAGUCUUGAGUAUGGCAGAGGUGAGUGGAACUGCAAGUGUAGAGGUGAAAUUCGUAGAUAUUCGCAAGAACACCAGUGGCGAAGGCGGCUCACUGGGCCAUUACUGACGCUGAGGCACGAAAAGCGUGGGGAGCAAACA